AUUGAACGCUGGCGGCAUGCCUUACACAUGCAAGUCGAACGGCAGCACGGGAGCAAUCCUGGUGGCGAGUGGCGAACGGGUGAGUAAUAUAUCGGAACGUGCCCGGUCGUGGGGAUAACGUAGCGAAAGCUACGCUAAUACCGCAUACGAUCUACGGAUGAAAGCGGGGGGAUCGCAAGACCUCGCGCGAUUGGAGCGGCCGAUAUCAGAUUAGGUAGUUGGUGNGGUAAAGGCUCACCAAGCCGACGAUCUGUAGCUGGUCUGAGAGGACGACCAGCCACACUGGGACUGAGACACGGCCCAGACUCCUACGGGAGGCAGCAGUGGGGAAUUUUUGGACAAUAGGGCGCAAGCCUGAUCCAGCAAUGCGCGUGCAGGAUGAAGGCCUCGGUUGUAACG
rnacentral:rRNA from 1 species